GUCUUGAUAAAUUUGGGCCCUCUACUUUAUCACUUUGCAGACUCAUACUCACCUGAUGAUGAGAUGUCCAUUGAACUCAGUUUGGAAGAUGUGAAGAAAGUUGCUUUCCACUAUGGAUUUGAAUUGGAGAUGGAGAAAAUCAUUGAGACGACUUACACUGCAAAUCCUCGAUCAAUGAUGCAAGUAAGCU